rnacentral:lncRNA from 1 species
AGCAAGGUGGCUGGCCGGCAGGCCAAUGGCGGCCAACGCCACUUCCGGCCGCCCUCCGAGCAUCGCUCUUCGGCAACCCGAAGCCACAGGAUGGAGGAGGGGGAUCCCAGCAAAGGUAGCGACUAAGGGGACCCAAGCAGAACGGGAGGGCGACGUCCGGAGCGGCGGCAGAGCCAGGGGACGCUGUGUGAGGCUGGCAAAGCGGUGUUCACCUAGUUCUCUCGGGCUCCGCCGCCGCCGGAGGAGGACAGGAGGCCGGCAAGGCGACCCCCAAAUCUUCCUAGGCUCUGACUUCCGUCUCCUAACCCCCGCAAAUUCCAACCCGGUCUUGGAAAAUCCCGCGAGAACGGGCUCCCGAAUUGUCAUUGGGAUCUCGCGAGAACGAAAUCUUCCUUUCUGUGGGCGGAGCAAUCUUCCCGAUGUCUCUUCCCUCUGAGGCCAGUAGCAGGAAGGGCCUCGGGAGUUGCGAGUGUCGCGAGGUUUGAGGUCGCUCGGUGGGCCGGGCGCUGUGCGAAGCUAGAAAUAACUGGGGGCAUGGAGAAUGCGGUGGCUGUAAAGGGCCGCUGAGGCGGUGGAGGCCUGGCAGAGAGCGUCCCCGCGGUCGCGGCUUCUGGCUUCUCUGUGGAGCUUGGUUCUUCCGUGGUGGUGCAGCACCCCAGGAACUUCAGGAACCAGUCCUUCCUUGGAGAGCUCCCCGGGACAGCCACGGGGGCCAAGUGAAACUAGCGCGUUUUCUUGGAUCCUACACUUUAUAUGUAAAGUGUUUUCCUCCGUACCAUCUGACGUUUCUGGCGGUUCGUUGAACGCGAGAGAACGCUGAGCCGUCUGCACUGAGCCCGGGAGCAUCUUCAGGGCAGCGCCGCCCACGCGCGAGGUGAAUGAAGGACACGGCCUCUUGACACUCCCAGGCAGCACAGAUAGACGGAUCCGUAAGUGGCUCCCGCGCAUGUUAAAAUUUGUAUACUGUAAGGUAUUUCAUGGAUUGAGUGAAAUACCUGACAGGGCCUGUAUCCGUUCCCUAUUGCCACAAUAACCAAAAACCACAAACUUUGUAGCUUGAAACAGCACAAAUUUAUCAUCUGACAGACAAUGCAUUUAUUAUCUCACGGUUCUGUAGAUCAGAAGUGCUACCUGGGUGUCACCCGGGCUGCACUCCUUUCUGGUGACUCCACAGGACAAUCCUUAGCUUGCCUUUGCCAGCUUCUGUCCACAUUCCUUGGCUUUGGUCCCUUCCUCCAUCUUCAAAGCCAGUGAUAUGCCAUCUCUCUGAACCUUCCAUCCUCAAGUCUACCGCUGAUUGCAGCUGGAAAAGAUUCUGAGGGCUCACCUGAGUAAUCCAGGAUCAUCUUCCCAUUUCCAGGUCUCUGCCCUUGAUCACAUCAGCAGAAUCCUUUUGCCAUGUAAGCUAAUAUAUUCACGAAUUCCGGAAAUUAGGAGAUAAACAUCUUUGGGGGAUCAUUAUUCUGCCUACAGUAGUGUCUUAAGAAAACAAUAUGGCUGUUUGCAAAUAGAUCUCAAUUCUAUGGCAGAUACUAAAAACUAGUAGUAUGUGUUCAUAAAAUGCUUCAUUUAAAAUAUGACUUGUUUGCUUACCAGCAGGCAAUAACUUUAAGCCUAAGUGAAACAUCUAACUCAGCCAUCUAUGUGUGAGUUGUUGGCCAGAUCACUUCUCCGUGUUUUAUUGUACUCACCUAUCACCAUUACAGUGAAGCUAAUAAUAGUAAACUACCUAAAAAUGGUAAUUGUAAAAAAUUAGAUAAUUAAGUAAAACUCCUAAAACAGUAGCUGGUCAUAGUAAGGAAUAUAUGUGUUGUUAUUACUAUUAUUAUCAAUGGAAUGCAUCCACUUGAAAGUUGCAUUCUACAUAGCCAUUAUGUCAGUUUAAUAUUUUGGCUAAUAGGCCGGGCGCGGUUGGCUCAUGCCUGUAAUCCCAGCACUCUGGGAGGCCAAGGUGAGCGGAUCAUGAGGUCAAGAGAUCAAGACCAUCCUGGCCAAUAUGGUGAAACCCCGUCUCUAAUAAAAAUACAAAAAUUAGCUGGGCGUAGUGGCACAUGCCUGUAGUCCCAGCUACUCAGGAGGCUGAGGCAGGAGAAUCGCUUGAACCCGGGAGGUCUAUAGAGGUUGCAGUGAGCCGAGUUUGCGCCACCGCACUCUAAUCUGGCGACACAGCGAAAAACACUACUAAUUAUAAUUGUAAUUCUUGAUUCUGACAUGCACCCUG